rnacentral:lncRNA from 1 species
ACUGUCAGUCCAGUACCUAGCAUGAUUUGGUAUCUAUUAUGAGAAUACACAAUCACAGGUAAAAGAUCUUGUAUCACUUCCACUGAUCAAGAUCUUAUCUUAAGUCAACUUUUGCUCUAUGAUUUCCUAGAGGCAAUUCUGUGAGGUACUUCAAAACACUAAGUUUAGAAUCAAACUAAUUUCUUAAAUAAUUGCCAAAAUCCCAGUCAUCCAGCCUAGUAGUAUUCUGAUAAGAAAAAAAAGAAAAUCACAAGAUCCUAUUCUGAUAAGAAAAAAAAGAAAAUCACAAGAUCCCCUUCGAAUACCUCAACACGGUGAUUCAUCAAAAAUAACAAUCUCAACGAUAUAUAACUUACAUAAAAAAUGCAUCCGUAUAUGUGAUCUUCUUGAGUCAAUGGAAACUACAUUUUACAGGCGUAUUGUAUUCAUAGACACGAUAAAGGUAUAUCAAUAAAUCAGUGAAAAAGUUUUACCACUAAGUACACAUUUAUGCUCGAGUGUGCUCGAUUCUUUCUAAUGUAGCAUGCAGAGUGAUUGAAGAAUUAUUACUACUACUACUACUAAUGGGGAUAGGCAGUCAGGAGCUCAACCCCUAACCUCCUGCAUUGUGGAGCAGGCAUCCGACCACUUGGCUACCAGCUGAAUGGCAUGCGGAUGAUUGAACCUUAACAUCGCAUGAAAAAAUUUAUGGAAUCAUCCUUCAUCAGAAAUACUAUCAGUUUAAAGUACUAGGAAUGAAAAAAAUUUAUGGAUCAUCCUUCAUCAGAAAUACGCUAUCAGUUUAAAGUACAAUUAUUAACUACAAUUUUCUAC